rnacentral:rRNA from 1 species
UACGAUGUACGUGUUACUGAUCUGAGAGGGAGAGGGACCCAUGCUUCGGUAUGGGAGCGGUACACAGGUGGCUGCAUGGCUGUCGUCAGCUCGUGUCGUGAGACGUGGGUUAAGUCCCGCAACGAGCGCAACCCCUGCAUCCAGUUGCCAUCGGGCGAGCCGGGCACUCUGGAGGGGACUGCCGGCGACAAGCCGGAGGAAGGUGGGGGAUGACGUCAAGUCAUCAUGGCCCUUAUGUCCAGGGCGACACACGUGCUACAAUGGCCGGCACAGCGGGAAGCGGAGGGGCGACCCUGAGCGGAUCCCUUGAAAGCCGGUCCCAGUUCGGAUUGCAGUCUGCAACUCGACUGCAUGAAGUUGGAAUCGCUAGUAAUCGCGGAUCAGCCAAGCCGCGGUGAAUACGUUCCCGGGCCUU